GGGGUGUUAGUAAAACAAUUACAUAUCCUUGUCAAGGCUAAAUUAUAGGUGAAAACCCUGUACACCUCA
rnacentral:tRNA from 1 species